UUCCAGAAAAACGUUAGAACCGGUGUAUAUAGACCAAUAAUGACGCCAAUAAAAUAAUAAUGACCGGGGGUCAUUUUUGAACGGCCGGUCUUUAUUCGAAUGAAUGAAGAAUGACCCCCGGCGUCUCGAAGUUAAAAAAUUACCCUUCAGCCCGUAGAAAAAGUGAAAUCACUCUAAAAAUCUGCAUACCCCAGGUGAAGAGAAGACCCCAGUAGAAUAAUGACCCCUUGUAGAUUAGAGACUAGGCAAAGCUGGGUUUCUCUUUGGUGGACAUGUUUAUCAGAAAAUAGACAAAAUCGUCUUCGGUGGAUCUUUCGGAGAAAUCACGUGCCUGGGUCGCAAUCUGUAUACCAGGAUCACGCCUUUGUUCGGCAAUUGUUCCAAGCGCAUGACAAGAAGUUCUGAAGACAGUCAGAUGGAGACUGUGAUGCCAAACAAACUGUAAAUGGCCAAGAUGGAUGUCUUUAUGAUGGUAUGGUUCUGAAAGUCGAUGAGACCAUCACCAUUCAGGGAACAACAACUGAACUCAUUUGUCU